rnacentral:rRNA from 1 species
CAACUUUUAACAAUGGAUCUCUUGGCUUUUGCAUCGAUGAAGAACGUAGCAAAUUGCGAUAACUAGUGUGAAUUGCAAAUUCAGUGAAUCAUCGAGUCUUUGAACGCAUCUU